rnacentral:ncRNA from 1 species
GCAACAGCGAUGAAGGGAAUAAGUAGCGCAUUUCAGACCUGCAAAGAGAGCCUCCGGCCGGUGUAAGGAGGAGAGGAAGAAAUGGGUGAAUACAUCCCGGAGCAGCCUCCCGAACGUUCGCGUGAGCCAGUAGGGAUGUGUCGGGUCCGCCCGUUACAGCGGUAGGGUGUGUCUGCACCCAACGAGGUCGUGUCUGCGAGGGCAUGGCGAAUAUGAGGUGGUACCGCGAGCGUCUGCAUCGCCCUCUGU